UACGAAGGGGGCUAGCGUUGUUCGGAAUUACUGGGCGUAAAGCGCACGUAGGCGGCUUGGCAAGUCGGAUGUGAAAUCCCUCGGCUCAACCAAGGGAGUGCAUCCGAAACUGCUGAGCUUGAGUACGAAAGAGGAUCGCGGAAUUCCCGGUGUAGAGGUGAAAUUCGUAGAUAUCGGGAGGAACACCAGUGGCGAAGGCGGCGAUCUGGGUCGAUACUGACGCUGAGGUGCGAAAGCGUGGGGAGCAAACAGG
rnacentral:rRNA from 1 species